GCUGGUGAUUAGAGCGCGGUGGGACCACCCGUUCCCAUCCCGAACACGGAAGUGAAACGCCGCAGCGC
rnacentral:rRNA from 1 species